rnacentral:rRNA from 1 species
AGUCGAGCGGGAACGAGUUAUCUGAACCUUCGGGGAACGAUAACGGCGUCGAGCGGCGGACGGGUGAGUAAUGCCUAGGAAAUUGCCCUGAUGUGGGGGAUAACCAUUGGAAACGAUGGCUAAUACCGCAUGAUGCCUACGGGCCAAAGAGGGGGACCUUCGGGCCUCUCGCGUCAGGAUAUGCCUAGGUGGGAUUAGCUAGUUGGUGAGGUAAGGGCUCACCAAGGCGACGAUCCCUAGCUGGUCUGAGAGGAUGAUCAGCCACACUGGAACUGAGACACGGUCCAGACUCCUACGGGAGGCAGCAGUGGGGAAUAUUGCACAAUGGGCGCAAGCCUGAUGCAGCCAUGCCGCGUGUGUGAAGAAGGCCUUCGGGUUGUAAAGCACUUUCAGUCGUGAGGAAGGUGGUGUAGUUAAUAGCUGCAUUAUUUGACGUUAGCGACAGAAGAAGCACCGGCUAACUCCGUGCCAGACCCGGGGGGGGUAAAUAA